rnacentral:rRNA from 1 species
UUUCCAUACUCCUACUGGAGGCAGCAUUUGGGAAUAUUGGACAAUGGGGGGCCCCCUGAUCCAGCUCCUCCUCGUGAGUUAAUAAUUAUUUCGUUCUUUAAAGCUCUCUCCUCCGGGAAGAAAUCCCUGACGGUACCUUCCUAAGAAGCCCCUUCUAACUACGUUCCCUCAGCCGCGUUCAUCCGUAGGGGUCCCUCUUUAUCCGUAUUUACUGGGUGGAAAGGGAGCGUAGACGGUUACGCAAGUCUGGAGUGAAAGGCGGGGGAACAACCCCCGGACUGCUUUGGAAACUGUAUAACUGGAGUGCAGGAGAGGUAAGUGGAAUUCAUAGUGUAGCGGUGAAAUGCGUAGAGAGGAGGAGGAACAACAGUGGCGAAGGCGGAUUACUGGACUGUAACUGACGUUGAGGCUCGAAAGCGUGGGGAGCAAACAGGAUUAGAUACCCGGGUA